rnacentral:rRNA from 1 species
GGAUUAGUGGCGAACGGGUGAGUAACACGUGGGCAAUCUGCCCUGCACUCUGGGACAAGCCCUGGAAACGGGGUCUAAUACCGGAUACUGACCCGUUUGGGCAUCCGAGCGGUUCGAAAGCUCCGGCGGUGCAGGAUGAGCCCGCGGCCUAUCAGCUUGUUGGUGAGGUAAUGGCUCACCAAGGCGACGACGGGUAGCCGGCCUGAGAGGGCGACCGGCCACACUGGGACUGAGACACGGCCCAGACUCCUACGGGAGGCAGCAGUGGGGAAUAUUGCACAAUGGGCGAAAGCCUGAUGCAGCGACGCCGCGUGAGGGAUGACGGCCUUCGGGUUGUAAACCUCUUUCAGCAGGGAAGAAGCGAAAGUGACGGUACCUGCAGAAGAAGCGCCGGCUAACUACGUGCCAGCAGCCGCGGUAAUACGUAGGGCGCAAGCGUUGUCCGGAAUUAUUGGGCGUAAAGAGCUCGUAGGCGGCUUGUCACGUCGGUUGUGAAAGCCCGGGGCUUAACCCCGGGUCUGCAGUCGAUACGGGCAGGCUAGAGUUCGGU